CAAGACAGAGCCAGCUGUGUCCACAUGGGAAAUCGCCAUUCCCCCAAGUGCCUAUUGUUCCGGAAUCAGUGCAUCCUUGCAACGGAGAAGGUGGCACUUUCUAUUCCCCAGCAGCGAGACCAUGAUGAGAGAAGGAAGAGAGUGAGAAGAAAAGGAGAGAAGCAGGAACCAGGAGAAGAAAAAAUGAGGAAGUAACCAGGAGUGGGGAGGAAGGAGGCGAAGAGGCUGAGAGAGGGACGGAGCCGCGUGCCUCGGAGGGAACACCUUGCCUUCUUGGCCUUGCC
rnacentral:lncRNA from 1 species